AACGCGAAGAACCUUACCUACCCUUGACAUCCCGCGAAUCUGGGUGAGAGCCCGGAGUGCCGAAAGGAAUGCGGAGACAGGUGCUGCAUGGCUGUCGUCAGCUCGUGUUGUGAGAUGUUGGGUUAAGUCCCGUAACGAGCGCAACCCUUGUUCUUAGUUACUAACGAGUUAAGUCGAGGACUCUAAGAAGACUGCCGGUGUUGAACCGGAGGAAGGCGGGGACGACGUCAAGUCAUCAUGGCCUUUAUGGGUAGGGCUACACACGUGCUACAAUGGGGCGUACAGAGAGUCGCCAACCCGCGAGGGGGAGCUAAUCUCAGAAAGCGUCUCGUAGUCCGGAUUGGAGUCUGCAACUCGACUCCAUGAAGUUGGAAUCGCUAGUAAUCGCGAAUCAGCAUUGUCGCGGUGAAUACGUUCCCGGGCCUUGUACACACCGCUACAGU
rnacentral:rRNA from 1 species